AUGGACGCCGCCCCGCCGUCGUCGCCAAGUCAACUCACCCCGGCGAGCGGGCUGUCUACUCCACCUCCUCAUUCGGCCCGGAUGGAGUUUGCAACACCAGCGGCCUCAGAGGAGCUUGGGCUGCCGAUCCAGUCCACGUCGGUGCACCCACUGCAGAGCCCGCCUAGCCAUCCUACAGGGUUGGCUGAACUGCGAGCUGUGACUCGCUCAACGAAUGGCUCGCCGACAGUGGUUGGGCCUUUGGGGAUGGUGUUAACGCCGACAUCACCACCCACGGUGAUCUCGUCGUUCGGGAUUAUAGCGUCGGCCUCCCCGACUCCUAGACCUAUGUCUUUAUGGCAUAGUGAGAGUCAUCCGGUUGCUGCUGAUGACUCGACAUCCAUAGAUGAGGACUCCACGAUGCAGCGUCAAGCUUCACACAACCUAGACUGCUCAGAAGAUGCAGUGGUUAUCGAUGUGCAAAAUGAGCUGCAUUCUUCAGGAGAUGGGGUGAUCCCCAAGGUCCGUGUGAACCUCCGGCGCGUCGCGACCGACCUGUUCACGCCGUACACCGUACCCAUCGGUCCUUACCAUGAAAGCGCGGAUUCCUGGCAGUGGACGGAAGUGAAGAAGAGGGCCGUCCGCGAUCUAGCAGGCGGGGCUAACCUCUCCGGUCUGGAGCGGGCCAUGGAUAGAGUGCGGUGCAGAGCGAGGGGAUGCUACACCCAUCUGCCGGAGCCGGACAACCACGCCGGCGACUCAGCAAAGUUCUCCCGUAUGCUGCUGCAUGAUGGGUGUUAUCUGGUUAGCCUCUUUGUAGACUGCUACCUGCAGUGUGAGGAGGCGACCGGAUCACCCAGCAGUCGGACUCGGACCAUAGUGUCCAGAGACAACACGGUGGUGCGGGACAUCCUGUACCUCCUUGAGAACCAGAUACCGCUGUUUGUCAUCCACGAGAUCCUGAAUUACUUGAGAGCACCAGGGGAAGUGACAUCCGCUGUGGAGUGCAUCGCGAGGCCCGUCGAGGAGCUGCUGCAGAGGCAGCUGUACAUCAGCAAGACGCCGCGGGAGGCGCCGUCGACGUCCGUCCACCUGCUCGACCUGGUGUACUGCUACAUGGCGUCGCGGCUGCUGCAGCAGCAGCAGCAGGAGGAGGAGGAGGAGCGGACAGCAGGCCUUCUAACGGGCCCAUGGCGCCGGGCGACCGAGUACCGCAGGUACGCCAACCUGCUGUUGAAGCGCCGGGCCUUUAGCGCCGGCGAGGAGUGGAGCAUCCUCGACGUGGAGCUCGACGGAGGAAACCUGUGGAUCCCUCUCCUACGCGUGGACAGCAACACGUGGACGCUCCUGCGGAACCUGAUGGCUCUGGAGGAGCAGCAGGAGGCCAGGCCCGUCACGGCCUACUGCUACUUCAUGUCGCAGGUGGCGUGCACGGCGGAGGACGUGGGGCUCCUGCGGAGCGCCAUGGUUGUCGAGCAUUUCCUGGGCAGCGACGAGUCGGCCGCACAGGGCUUUGCCUGUCUGUGCCACGGCAUGGCCCUGGACAUCCACAACCUCCAGCGGAACUACCUCAAGCCCAUAUGGCACGCCCUGGAGAAGCGCUGCGGCGUCCCGGCGCACAACUUCAAGGGCUUCUUCCGCGAGAAGCACUGCGGUAACAUCUUCUACCGCGUGGUGUUCUUCAUCGCCAUCCUCGUCUUUGUCUCCCAAAUGGUGCAGUCCAUCUAUGCGGUUAUCGCCUACCACAAACCCAAUACUCGUCUUCUUGCAUGA
rnacentral:rRNA from 1 species